rnacentral:misc_RNA from 1 species
AAGACUUGAGGAAAAUUUCGCCUUCUGAACCUAAGGAGAGAGAUUCCACUCUAGAUACCGAACCUGAAAGUGGAAUUUCAAAUAGCAAGAAGACUGUGUUGAAUGGAGGGGGUGAUCACUUUGAGGAUCUUUCAGUUGGAGGGUGUAAUAAUAUAGCAAAUUCAGGUAGAUCCAUCAUAGAUAUGGAUAAUGAGGAUGCUAUAUGUAAGCGUACUAG